UACGUAGGUGGCAAGCGUUGUCCGGAAUUAUUGGGCGCAAAGCGCGCGCAGGCGGUCCUUUAAGUCUGAUGUGAAAGCCCACGGCUCAACCGUGGAAGGUCAUUGGAAACUGGAGGACUUGAGUACAGAAGAGGAAAGCGGAAUUCCACGUGUAGUGGUGAAAUGCGUAGAGAUGUGGAGGAACACCAGUGGCGAAGGCGGCUUUCUGGUCUGUAACUGACGCUGAGGCGCGAAAGCGUGGGGAGCAAACAGG
rnacentral:rRNA from 1 species